rnacentral:rRNA from 1 species
ACGGGUGAGUAACACGUAGGCAACCUGCCCUCAAGUUUGGGACAACUACCGGAAACGGUAGCUAAUACCGAAUAAUUGUUUUCUUCGCCUGAAGGAAACUGGAAAGACGGAGCAAUCUGUCACUUGGGGAUGGGCCCGCGGCGCAUUAGCUAGUUGGUGGGGUAACGGCUCACCAAGGCGACGAUGCGUAGCCGACCUGAGAGGGUGAUCGGCCACACUGGGACUGAGACACGGCCCAGACUCCUACGGGAGGCAGCAGUAGGGAAUCUUCCGCAAUGGGCGAAAGCCUGACGGAGCAAUGCCGCGUGAGUGAUGAAGGUUUUCGGAUCGUAAAGCUCUGUUGCCAGGGAAGAACGCUUGGGAGAGUAACUGCUCUCAAGGUGACGGUACCUGAGAAGAAAGCCCCGGCUAACUACGUGCCAGCAGCCGCGGUAAUACGUAGGGGGCAAGCGUUGUCCGAAAUUAUUGGGCGUAAAGCGCGCGCAGGCGGUCAUUUAAGUCUGGUGUUUAAUCCCGGGGCUCAACCCCGGAUCGCACUGGAAACUGGGUGACUUGAGUGCAGAAGAGGAGAGUGGA